rnacentral:rRNA from 1 species
UACGUAGGUGGCUAGCGUUGUCCGGAUUUACUGGGCGUAAAGAGCGCGCAGGCGGUCGUUCAAGUCGAGUGUGAAAGCCCCCGGCUCAACUGGGGAGGGUCAUUCGAUACUGAUCGACUCGAAGGCAGGAGAGGGAAGUGGAAUUCCCGGUGUAGUGGUGAAAUGCGUAGAUAUCGGGAGGAACACCAGUGGCGAAGGCGACUUCCUGGCCUGUUCUUGACGCUGAGGCGCGAAAGCUAGGGGAGCAAACGGGG